rnacentral:lncRNA from 1 species
CAAGGGCCUCAGGGUAAAAGCUUAAUCUAAAGUAUUGAGGAAGGAAGAAGAUACCACAAGCUUUGCCAGAGGCUGGAGAGAUCCCACGAGAAAAGUUGGAUUAUAAAAAGAGACACAUUUGACAAGAAUACAGACUACAUUAGCUCCAGACCCAGUCUUCAAAAGGAUACCUGCCAAUAGAACCCUCAACUUUUAGAAGAUAAAGUUUGGAAGGAAAACACAACUGUGAAGAUUUCGUGUGACCUGGAAAAUGUAUCCCCCUGAGCUUUAGUUUCCGUGUCUAUGAAAUAAAGAGA